rnacentral:tRNA from 1 species
GCCAAGUUGGCUCAGUCAGUAGAGCAUCCAACUCUCGAUUUCAGGGCCAUGAGUUCAAGCCCCAUAUCGGGCA